AGAGCAAGAUGAUAAAAUAAAGGCAAAAAGCUGCUUACUAAGGAAUAAUUGGGUAAUACUUGCAAUAAGAGUCUCAUCUCCAGAGGCAAAACUCUUACCUUAGCUGUAAAGCCAGAGGCUGUAAAACAACAAGGAAUAGUUAAGAGGAUGUGUAUCAAAAUAGGUGAAAUAUAUCAAUAAGCUCCAAACAAAAAGACUUUACCUUUUCAGGAGUGCUGGGCUUCCUCCCUGAAAAUAGUAAAAGCUUACAUUCAGAAAAAAUGAAAGGGAUCUCCUAAUGUCUUUCUGUUCAACUAGUCCUGAGCAAGGCUUGCAACUUCCCAGAUACAAUUUCUCUUGCUUUAGCUUGUCUGAAGUAGAAAAUCUAGCUUCAAAAGUCACAGAGCCACCAGCAUGCUGUAAGUCUGU